AUUACCGAGUUUACAACUCCCAAACCCAAUGUGAACGUUACCAAACUGUUGCCUCGGCGGGAUCUCUGCCCCGGGUGCGUCGCAGCCCCGGACCAAGGCGCCCGCCGGAGGACCAACCAAAACUCUUAUUGUAUACCCCCUCGCGGGUUUUUUUAUAAUCUGAGCCUUCUCGGCGCCUCUCGUAGGCGUUUCGAAAAUGAAUCAAAACUUUCAACAACGGAUCUCUUGGUUCUGGCAUCGAUGAAGAACGCAGCGAAAUGCGAUAAGUAAUGUGAAUUGCAGAAUUCAGUGAAUCAUCGAAUCUUUGAACGCACAUUGCGCCCGCCAGUAUUCUGGCGGGCAUGCCUGUCCGAGCGUCAUUUCAACCCUCGAACCCCUCCGGGGGGUCGGCGUUGGGGAUCGGCCCUCCCUUAGCGGGUGGCCGUCUCCGAAAUACAGUGGCGGUCUCGCCGCAGCCUCUCCUGCGCAGUAGUUUGCACACUCGCAUCGGGAGCGCGGCGCGUCCACAGCCGUUAAACACCCAACUUCUGAAAUGUUGACCUCG
rnacentral:rRNA from 1 species